rnacentral:ncRNA from 3 species
UAUCACAGCCAGCUUUGAUGACA